rnacentral:rRNA from 1 species
AGAAUCAACGCUGGCGGCGUGCCUAACACAUGCAAGUCGAACGCGGUUACCUCGCAAGGGGUAACUGAGUGGCGAACGGGUGAGUAACACGUGGGUGACCUACCUUCGAGUGGGGGAUAACGUCCCGAAAGGGACGCUAAUACCGCAUGACAUCCUGUUCUUGAACGGAUGGAGAUCAAAGCCGGGGAUCGCAAGACCUGGCGCUUGAAGAGGGGCUCGCGUCCGAUUAGCUAGUUGGUGAGGUAACGGCUCACCAAGGCGACGAUC